UAUAUAAAAUGCCUACGGCUGACUGGCAUUUGGGUAACGAUGAAUUGUAGAUUUACGAAAAUAAAGUUUUAAGUACAUAUUAAUAAUGAUAAUAUGUAUAAAAGUCUUGACCAAUUACGUGCCAGCAGUCGCGGUAAUACGUAGGAGACGAGCAUUAUUCAUUUUAAAUAGGUUUAAAGGGUACCCAAACGGUCAAUAUAUCUUAAAUAAAGAAGCACUUGACUAGAGUUAUAUGUAAGAAGACCGUACUUGAGGUGGAGAGAUUAUAUCCGAUGAUACCAAGGGGACUGGUGACGGCGAAGGCUGUCUUUUAUGUAAUAACUGACGUUGGAGGACGAAGGUUUAGAGCACUAACAGGAUUUGACACCCUAGUAGUCUUUACAGACAAUGAUGAAUGCCAUUAACUAGAUUGUAAUUUAGUUUUAUAAAUGAAAAUGAAAGCAUUUCACCUCAAGAGUAAUGUGGCAACGCAGGAACUGAAAUCACUAGACCGUUUCUGACAUCAGUAGUGAAGUAUGUUAUUUAAUUCCGAUGAUCCGCA
rnacentral:rRNA from 1 species